GCCGGCCCGUACGAGCCAUAAGACCCGGCACUGGCCGCCAGGGCCCCGGACAGGAAUGUCGGGCCGAGAUUAAUAGUUAUUGAUGCGAACCAAAUCAUGAAUGUACCGAAUAAAACGCACUGAAACAAAAUAGCAUAUAGAAUAUCGUUGCGAAGCUGGACGGGUGGUGCCGGAAUGAUUUCAAGAAAUGUCUAUUUCAUGGAAAAAGUAGCGACGUUAAUCACUCGUACAAUACUGACUAAAAUUGAGAUUUUCUCACAAAUGAUUGCUGUCGCUUAAACAAAUAACAAACAACCAUUAAAUGAGAAUAAAUCUAAGGCUUCAACAACGUCUGAAGGAAAGGAACAAAGUUAAUAGUCUGCAUUAAAUUAAAUAGAUCAAUUCAGAGCAGAACGCAAUGGAAUGACUGCGAAAGCCGAAUGAUUUUAGUUGAUGAUUUAAGACUAUAUCACUCCAACGCAGAUCUCCCAAAAUAAAUCAUUUACGUCUGUUUUUGAUCUGAUAUCUUUAUUAAAAUUACGUCAUAAAGCCAUUCAUGGUUCACGUUUGUUUUCAGAUUACAAAAAAGGUUUUAUUGGGCGCUGAAGGUUCACUGUAUUGUUAUUUUAUUUUCAAUUGGCAAUAACACCUGUUUUGUUAUCGAAUAUAUGAGUUACACAAGGCAUCCGGAUUGCUCAAUAAAAUAAUGAUAUUG